UACGUAGGGGGGCUAGCGUUGUCCGGAAUCAUUGGGCGUAAAGAGCGCGUAGGCGGCCAGAUAAGUCCGGUGUGAAAGUCAAAGGCUCAACCUUUGAAUGCCGCUGGAAACUGUCUGGCUAGAGUCCGGGGAGGGGCGAGUGGAAUUCCUGGUGUAGCGGUGAAAUGCGCAGAUAUCAGGAGGAACACCGAUGGCGAAGGCAGCUCACUGGGACGGUACUGACGCUGAGACGCGAAAAGCGUGGGGAGCGAACAGG
rnacentral:rRNA from 1 species